rnacentral:rRNA from 1 species
CCCUGGCUCAGGACGAACGCUGGCGGCGUGCCUAAUACAUGCAAGUCGAGCGGGUUUAUCCUUCGGGGUAAGCUAGCGGCGGACGGGUGAGUAACACGUAGGUAACCUGCCUUUAAGACUGGGAUAACUAUCGGAAACGAUAGCUAAGACCGGAUAACCGGUUUUCUCGCAUGAGAGAAUCGUAAAACACGGAGCAAUCUGUGGCUUAGAGAUGGGCCUGCGGCGCAUUAGCUAGUUGGUGAGGUAACGGCUCACCAAGGCGACGAUGCGUAGCCGACCUGAGAGGGUGAACGGCCACACUGGGACUGAGACACGGCCCAGACUCCUACGGGAGGCAGCAGUAGGGAAUCUUCCGCAAUGGACGCAAGUCUGACGGAGCAACGCCGCGUGAGUGAUGAAGGUUUUCGGAUCGUAAAGCUCUGUUGCCCUAGACGAACAGCAUGAGGAGUAACUGCCUUGUGUGUGACGGUAUAGGAGAAGAAAGCCCCCGGCUAACUA